GGGCGAGGUCAUUCAUUGUGCCGGUGACUGCAGUCUGGCUGUCCCGGGAGGAGACAUAUACGUGGAAAUAAACGGGUGGUCAGUUGGGGAGAGCAGACCUGGGGACCCCCUCUGGCAAAAGGAAGCUUUCUAAUGUCAUGGUUAAGAGCCUGGCUUUGGAAACAGCAGGAGAUGAGUCCUCAGCCCAGCUCUGCCACUUGCCAGCUGUGUGCCUGGGAAAUGUAUGUGUGCCAAGCUGCAGUUUCCUUACCAGUGGAAUGGGGACAUCCCCAGCAUCUGCCUUGGAAAGUCGUAGCGAGGAUUAAAUAAGACAAGCCCCAUGGCUGACGCAUAGUGAGCACAGCCAGAGCCAAGGAGCUGGGAAUCCAGGAAAGGGGCUGCAGAAACACGGAAGGUGCACACUGAGGCGGAAGAGCCUGGAGAGAUGGCUAACAAAAGAAGGACCUGAAAAACAGGCAGGUCAGGCCUCAUGCUUUUUGUGUUUCCCAUUGAUUUUGUUCUUCCUUAGUAUCUAGGGAAAUGUCUUUGAAAAUGACAGGUUGGCUCAGAUGUAUUUAGAAGUCUCCUCUUCGACAGGAGUUGUAUUGGGGUGGGCAAGCCAGCAUGCCAGGAAAUCCCAAGGGAAAAAUGAAACGCCGGGGAAGAGAGUCAGGCGGCGUGUUCUACCCCACGCCCACCUUAAACCCUGACAGUCCCCUCCCCAGCUGACAUUUUAGAGGGGCUAUAUUUUGAUAGAAGGGACAGUUCCCAAAAUUAUAUGGAAAACUUCACACCCACACACAAAUAUAUUCAUGCCAGAGUGAGAACAAACACAGUUGCCCAGGCAAACAUUCAUGUGUACAGGUAAACAUAAACACCUAAUGACAGGCACACCUGUGCUUCAAUGUGAUUUGAACCCAAUCCAGAAAUUCUGCAUUGGCACCUAUGCAUAUGCUCCAUUUUUUUAAGCCUCAAAUUUGUGGGAUUCCUUUCUAGUAGGGACACACUACCCAUUUAAAAGCAGUGAUCAGUUUUAAUAUUUUCUUGCAUCAGAAUGCUGGGUGAUGAUCUGUCUGUAUUUUGGCUUUUGUGCUUUUGUUUUUGUUUUUUUUAAACAAUGCCAGUUGAAGCAGCUAUAUGAAGUCACUGGGAGCUGAGCCCUCUCCAAUUCAGGUUAAUCAUGGAUAUUUAGGGGGUAUUAUUUUGCCAUGUUAUAUUAAGACUAGAGCCAUCCUGAGAAACAGCAGAUGUUUUUAUUGUUUAACUCAAACAAUAAGCUUAUAUAUUUUGGAUACUUUUCUUCAAAAACAAAGGCAUAAAAUUAUUUUAACAAUGGCUUCAUAUGCCCUCUGGAAUUCUUUGACAACUUGAGUAUAAACAGGGUUUUCAUAAAAGGAAUCAAUACUGAACCAGGUCUGUGUGAAAAACUUAACUUUUGGUAUUAUAUAGCUAAUUCAAGAUUGACCUUCUUAGUACUUACUUAUCAGUUGGGGGAGGAAAAAACAAGGAUCUCCCUGCUUCCCUCCCCAAAAUUUAUAAUUGAUUUUAAUAUUAUAGAAAGAGUUCUCAUCUACAAAUCAGAAAUCCUAGGUUCUUGUGUCACCUCUGUCUCCAUAGCCAGCUGUGUUACCUGUGACAAGUCACCUUGCCUUUCUGGACCUCAGUUUCUUCACCAUUGAGGUGAAAGAGCUGGGCUGGAAUGAUCACCAAGAUCCCUUCCUAGGACCAAACACAAGGUAAAUGCAAACAAAUAUGCCCAUUCCCCCCUCCUACCCCACAUAGGUGUAUAGUGUGUACCCACAAAUGUGUGCAGGCAGAGAAACAGAAGCUUUUAUGCACAGAUAUUCAGAAACUAAUAGGCA
rnacentral:lncRNA from 1 species